rnacentral:rRNA from 1 species
CAAUAGCGUAUAUUAAAGUUGUUGCAGUUAAAAAGCUCGUAGUUGGAUUUGUGGUGUGUCCAGUCGGCCUUUGCUCUUUGAGUGAUAGUGCUGUAACUGGUCUGCCAUGUUUGGGUGGAAUCUGUGUGGCAUUAAGUUGUCGUGCAGGGGAUGCCCAUCGUUUACUGUGAAAAAUUAGAGUGUUCAAAGCAGGCUUAUGCCUUGAAUAUAUUAGCAUGGAAUAAUAAGAUAGGACUUUGAGUCUAUUUUGUUGGUUUGCGAGUCAAAGUAAUGAUUAAUAGGGACAGUUGGGGGUAUUCGUAUUUCAUUGUCAGAGGUGAAAUUCUUGGAUUUCUGAAAGACGAACUACUGCGAAAGCAUUUACCAAGGAUGUUUUCAUUAAUCAAGAACGAAAGUUAGGGAUCGAAGACGAUCAGAUACCAU